rnacentral:rRNA from 1 species
UACGUAGGGGGCAAGCGUUGUCCGGAUUUAUUGGGCGUAAAGAGCGUGUAGGCGGCCAAUUAAGUCAUCUGUGAAAUCUCCGAGCUUAACUCGGAACGGUCAGGUGAUACUGAUCUGCUAGAGUGCGGAAGGGGCAAUCGGAAUUCUUGGUGUAGCGGUGAAAUGCGUAGAUAUCAAGAGGAACACCUGAGGUGAAGACGGGUUGCUGGGCCGACACUGACGCUGAGGAGCGAAAGCGUGGGGAGCAAACAGG